GAACGCAAGUCUCGCGAGAGACUGGGGAGGUGGUCGACUCAGCGGGCGGGGCGUGCAAAAAGGAGUCACGUGGAAGGGAGGCGUGGCCCCGCCCCUUUCGGGAAAGUCAGGGGUGGGGCCUGGGGCCUGGGGAGGUGUCCCAGGUGGCGUCACACCCCUUCUUUUACUGAGAAGGCCACUGAGGCCCAGGCUGGGGAAAGGCUCCCCUGAGCAGUCAUAAACCACUGGAAAGGCAAGGCCUUGAGGUCACCCGAGGAUAGACCCUGUCCCCACUCUACACCUGACGCAUGCGCCUUAAUUAACCUUGAAUUCGCCUCCGCCGCCCAACUCAGCGAUCAUCCCGGUUCUGCGGCGCCCCCUGCUGGGCAUCUGUGGCUGCUGCGAGCAGCCUGUGCGGAGGCAUCGUCAAUGACCACGAUGACGUUGAUGCGCCGCCCAAGAGCUGUGAACAAGUGUCAUCCUUGAGGGCUGGGGUCAGUGGACUUGGGAGAGAAGUCCCCAAUCAGAACCGAUCAUACCCUGAAGUACUGCACUAGGUCCUGGCGACCCCCUCCCCUUUCUCCCAGGAGCUCACGGGAAGUUCUGGACCGAAUAAGGAGGAAAGACUCCCAGAGCGAAGGCCCGGGCAUGAAGAGGAUCCCGUGGAGAAAGUGGGGUCUUAGCGGGGACUUGAAGGAAGCCCCGGGGUCGGGGUCCAGGAGGUGGCGAUGAGGAGAGUGAGAGUUCCAGGCCUGAAGGAGCUGCCAAGGUGGAAGCCAAGAAACCCUCAAGGCUGAAAGCAUUUUCAUUGGAAAUCUUUUCAGUUGCUGGGGUCCCAUUAGUCAGGACUGCCUCCAAGCACGCCGCAGGAAUGGAAGGGCCGCGGUCCGACGGAUCCACCACAAGAAAUUGUCUCAAGACCCCGUUUUGCCCUGUGCCUUUGGGGGGGGGGAGCUCCGAGGGUUCUGAUGAGCAUGUCUAAAACUCCAGGGGCCCUGAUGACAAUAAUUGAUGUAGGGGCUGAGGCAGGAAGUGGUUAGGACCACAGAUGUAAAAGCUUCCUCAGGAGACCAUCCUGGCACAAAGAAUGGGGUCUCUGCCCAGUCUGCCAGUGGCAUAGUAUAGUGUAAAUUGUAAGAGCACCUCCUUAACAAUGGAAUCACAUCAGCACCCACCCCUCUCCCCCCAUUCAGAAGAAUUGUCCCAGGAGAUAAGCAGACCAGCUCUGAGGCCUGAAUGCCACAGAGUGUUUCCUUGAAAUGACAAGCAUGAGCUAUGGCCUGGAGGCAUUAAGGCCAUGAGCUAGGGUCAAUCAUCUGAGUAAUCUGAGAGAUGACAGCAGGACCAUUAUCUCUCUGGAGUGAUUUGGGAAGGCCAAACCUAAGAAUUAUUUCAUUGAGAAGGGUUUUUAUUCUAUUCUGCACUUUUUCUGUUCUGCUGGGAAAGGCUUCUACCCAUCCAGUAAAGGUAUCUACAGAGACUGAGAGGACCCUAUACCUUUUGCAGGGUGGUAGGUGAGCAAAAUUUACCUGCCAACCUUCCCUGGUAGUUCCCCUCCUCUUUGGACUGGCUUGAAGAGAGAGGGAGGUUUGAGGGCCUCAGUGGUAUUAGUUUGGGGGCAGAGGGCUCGGAAAUUGCAGGCCCCUCGGAUGGCCUGUAAAGAGAGACUUGACUAAAGUGGUUAGAGCUUCCCUAACCAGGUGAAUGGAAUGGUGAAGGCCCACUGCAAAUCUGCACAUGGUAUUUCUGGGGAGAAGCAGCGAACCAGAGGGAGAGCAGCACCUGCCUGUAUCCUCAUGAACAUUUCAGCCUGUUCAGUCUCCUCCUUACCUUGGGACACAGUAGGGUGAAAGGGGGCCAGGGCCAGGGAAGAUGGGCAACCAAUUUAACAGCAAGGUCAGCCCUGUGAUCCCCCUGUGCUGUGGAGGAGUUGAUGGCUUGUCACCCUCAGCAGUGUGUGACAGGACCUGGCUGGGCUGUUUCCGGCCUCAGGGUCAUCUGAGCCCAGUGGCAAGACAAAAGUCAAGAUGACUGGUAAUGUCCCAGGACACCAUGGUUGUUCUUGGCCUUUCUAAGUUAAGGUCAUUCCCACGUAGUAUGCCUGAAGCAACACCCAUUUAAUGACUAAAUACAAGGGUCAAUGGAGUCCAGUAGAAGACAAAAGUCAGGACUGUUGGCAAUGGCCAAGGAUGCAGUGGGUGACCUUGGUGUCCUCCAUUCCUGAUCAAGCUCUCGGUGUUCCACGGCGCCUGCUUCAGUCUCCUUCAUGGCGGCUGGAACAAACUUCUCAUCCUCACAUUCUGCCUGGGGGUGGAAGGGGUUGGAGAGAAAGUCAUCGUAUGCAUUGGGAGACAUGCCCCUGAUUUACCAAUGGGUUCAAGUCCCCUCAGUUACCCUCAGCCUGGAUUAGUUCAGCUGCUGAGACUUUGUCCAAGUGUGUGUGAGAAAAUUAUUAAUAAUAGGGGUUUGGGGACUCCCAGAAGCCCCCCCUGAGAGAGCCUGGUCUGACCUUUCUUAAGGCCAGCCCAGAGUCAGGAAGUUACCUCACUCAAAACCACACCCACCUGAAAGCCUUGUUCCUGCCAGAGGUUUUGUUCUCUGGGCUCUGACAUCAGCAGGAUUGCACCGAACCACCCUCACAUCCAGUCAACCAGCAGAUUUGAAUGAUGCCAGCCAUGAGCUUUAAGCAGUGUGUAAGGGCCACCUCUCGUCCUUCCCGCAGGGAGCUUACACUGGCUGAUGGAAUGCUCAAGGAGACAGGAUGCAGAUGAUUCUCUCCCCUAGAUCCUAGCUAAGCUUUCCUAACUUUCAGGGCCACGU